CAGCAGCCACGGUAAUACGUAGGGUGCGAGCGUUAAUCGGAAUUACUGGGCGUAAAGCGUGCGCAGGCGGUCCGCUAAGACAGAUGUGAAAUCCCCGGGCUUAACCUGGGAACUGCAUUUGUGACUGGCGGGCUAGAGUAUGGCAGAGGGGGGUAGAAUUCCACGUGUAGCAGUGAAAUGCGUAGAGAUGUGGAGGAAUACCGUUGGCGAAGGCAGCCCCCUGGGCCAAUACUGACGCUCAUGCACGAAAGCGUGGGGAGCAAACAGGAUUAGAUACCCGCGUAGUCCCUGUCUCUUAUAA
rnacentral:rRNA from 1 species